UGGGAAGAGGCUAAACCUCGGGAAUAAGAAUAUAUCUUGGGAAGGAGAGAGGCCUUGGGAAGAAGGCAAGGUUUCUUGGAAAGGAGAGAGGCCUUGGAAAGGAGAUGAGAGAGAAAGGAAAAACAAAGAAAAAAAAAUGCAAGAAAAAUGCAAGGUUGCCAUGUAUACUUUUAAAGACUGUCAAAUUAUGUAUUGUUAAGGAUAUAACAAUUAUCAAAUAAUACUAUUAAAUAUAUUAAUUAGCAUAAUUUAAAUAAAUAUUGCGGAGUAAAUGUCACUAAAUCAUGAAUUUGUUAUUGUUUGAGAAAAAAUUUAAAUUUAAAUUGAAAAUAUAGAAGGACAAAAAAUAAAUUGUAAUUUGAUUGCUACUUUCCUUAGAAGAUUAGGUAUUAACAAGGAAAGAGAUAACAAAAGUAUUAUUGUCUUAUUCUCAAAAUUUUUGAAUCUAUUAUCAUAUUCUAAAGUAGAACUCUUUAUGAACCCUAUGUGAGAAGCUGACACGUAGCUUUCUAUAUGCUUGUCACGUGUCAAGCUCAAAUAUAGAUUUUCUAUUUUAGGAAAAAUAAAAUUAGAUUUUUUAAGAAAAUAAUAUCAUUUACUAUAUUAUUAAAAAUCACCUAUAAUGAAGGGGAUUUUAUUUCAAAGUCACCUAUAAUUAUGUUGAAUUUCAAAGUCACCAGAUAUUUGAGAAAUUCACGGAUAUUACAUUGGCAAGCAUGAAUAUUACGCGUGAGAAAGAAAAUAUUUAUCUUUAUUUUUAUUUCAAAGUCACUUAAUUAUGUUGAGAUAUUUGAGAAAUUCACGGAUAUUAUGUUGCGAAAGAAUUGGCGGGUGCGGAUAUUACGCGUGAGAAAGAAAAUAUUUAUCUUUAUUUGGGACUAAAUUAUUACAAGCUCAAAUAUAGAUUUUCUACUUUAGGAAAAAUAAAAUUAGAUUUUUUAAGGAAAUAAUAUCUUUUACGAUAUUAUUAAAAAUCACCUAUAGGGGAUUUUAUUUCAAAGUCAUCUAUAAUUAUGUUGAAAUAUUUGGGAAUAAAUUAUUACUUAGUUAAUUAUUUGAAAUGAUUGGUUGAAAAUUACUGGACAUAAAAUAUUAGUAAAAAAGGAUAGAGACAUUUUUCCUAACGUGGCUUUCUAUAUGUUUGUCACGUGUCUUCAUAUUUAUUCUAUUUACUAUGUUAUUAAAUUCAAAUAGUAGGUGGAUUAAUGAGAUAUUUGAGAAAUUCACGGAUAUUACGUUACGAAAGAAUUGGCGGGUGCGAAUAUUACGUGUGAGAAGGAAAAUAUUUGAGAAAAGCGUAGAUAGAAAAUAUGAUAUAAAUGCGAGGGUAAUAUUGUCACAAAAAAUAACAGAUACUUUUAUUUUCAAUCAUUAGAUAAGAUCUAAUGGCAAAAAAUUAAUAUCUUUUAUUAUAUUAUUAAAAAUCACCUAUAAUGAAGGGGAUUUUAUUUCAAAGUCAUCUAUAAUUAUGUUAAGAUAUUUGAAAAAUUCAUGGAUAUUACGUUACGAAAGAAUUGGCGGGUGCAGAUAUUACGCAUAAGAAAGAAAAUAUUUAUCUUUAUUUGGGAAUAAAUUAUUACUUAGUUAAUUAUUUGAAAUGAUUGGUUGAAAAUUACUGAACAUAAAAAUAUUAGUAAAAAGGAUAGAGACAUUUUUGGAAAGCCGAAAAAAUUCAAAACUCACGCUUAAGUAGUAUAGAUAUAGAUAUUGCAUAUCACUUACCUACUAUCACUCCUAUAAUUUUUAUUUCGUAAUUUUUUCCCUACUGUCACUCCUGUAAUUUUUUUCGUUCUUAAAUGUUGAUGCUUUAAAAUAGAACAUAUUAUUUUCAUUUUAUUAUUUAAAUACGAAGCAAGUAUUAAUUUUUUUUCUUGGUUGUCUUAUUGUUCUCAGGAUAUGGGACUUGGGUAUGAUUCUAUACGUGACAUCACUCCUCUUGGAGACAAAUGGAAGAUCAAAGUCAGAGUGAUUUGUCUAUAUACUAUACUUGAAUUUCAUCGUCCAGAGGUGGUGAAUAGCCUAGAGUUAGUUCUUUCUGAUCAAAAUGUAAGUACGACUUUCAUUUUCAAAUUGAACAUACGUUUGCUUUAUUUUUACUAAAAGAUACUAUAUAAUUUGUUUAUUUUCUAUUAUAG
rnacentral:lncRNA from 1 species